rnacentral:rRNA from 1 species
UACGAAGGGGGCUAGCGUUGUUCGGAAUUACUGGGCGUAAAGCGCACGUAGGCGGAUUUAUAAGUCAGGGGUGAAAUCCCGGGGCUCAACCUCGGAACUGCCUUUGAUACUGUAAGUCUCGAGUCCGAUAGAGGUGAGUGGAAUUCCUAGUGUAGAGGUGAAAUUCGUAGAUAUUAGGAAGAACACCAGUGGCGAAGGCGGCUCACUGGAUCGGUACUGACGCUGAGGUGCGAAAGCGUGGGGAGCAAACAGG